rnacentral:rRNA from 1 species
CGGGUUUGAUCCUGGCUCAGAACGAACGCUGGCGGCGUGGUUAAAGCAUGCAAGUCGGACGGAAUUAAUUUAGAGGUAACUUUGAAUUAAUUUAGUGGCGAAAGGGUGAGUAAUGCGUGGAUAACGUACCCCGAACACGAGGAUAGCUAAUCGAAAGAUUAGGUAAUACUCGAUGAUGCCGAAGAAUCUCCUGUUUCUUCGGUCAAAGGUGGCCUCUAUUUAUAUGCUACUAGUUUGGGAGCGGUUCGCGUCCUAUCAGCUUGUUGGUAAGGUAAUGGCUUACCAAGGCUAAGACGGGUAGCUGGUCUGAGAGGAUGAUCAGCCACAUCGGGACUGAGACACUGCCCGGACCUCCACGGAGGGCUGCAGCAACGAAUCUUCCGCAAUGCGCGAAAGCGUGACGGAGCAACGCCGCGUGUAGGAUGAAGCCCCUUGGGGUGUAAACUACUGUCAGGGUUAUACAAGCAAAGGGUUCAAAUAGGGCCCGGAGUUGAGUUACCCCAGAGGAAGCCACGGCUAACUCUGUGCCAGCAGCCGCGGUAAUACAGAGGUGGCAAGCGUUGUUCGGAAUUACUGGGUUUAAAGGGUGUGUAGGCGGUUUAGUAAGCAUUUUGUGAAAGCUCCAGGCUCAACCUGGGAAUUGCAGAGUGAACUGCUGAACUUGAGGCAUGUAGGGGUUAAUGGAACUCUGAGUGGAGCGGUGAAAUGCGUAGAUAUUCAGGGGAACGCCAAUGGCGAAGGCAAUUAACUGGGCAUGUCCUGACGCUGAGACACGAAAGCGUGGGGAGCGAACGGGAUUAGAUACCCCGGUAGUCCACGCCCUAAACGAUGUAUACUGGCUUCAGGGACUUCUGACAGUUUCUGAAGCGUAGGGAAACCGUUAAGUAUACCACCUGGGGAGUACGGUCGCAAGAUUAAAACUCAAAGGAAUUGACGGGGGCUCACACAAGCGGUGGAGCAUGUGGCUUAAUUCGAAUCAACGCGAAGAACCUUACCUAGGUUUGACAUGUAUGGAUGCCCUUUUGGAAACAAGAGUAGGCUGCUUUCGGGUGAAACAUAUACAGGUGCUGCAUGGCUGUCGUCAGCUCGUGCCGUGAGGUGUUGGGUUAAGUCCCGUAACGAGCGAAACCCUUAUUGUUAGUUGCCAGCGAGUAAUGUCGGGAACUCUAGCAAGACUGCCGGCGUUAAGCCGGAGGAAGGUGGGGACGACGUCAAGUCAUCAUGGCCUUUAUGCCUAGGGAUGCACACGUACUACAAUGCCUGGUACAAAGCGACGCAAGACCGCGAGGUGGAGCAAAUCGCAAAAAACCAGGCCCAGUUCAGAUUGUAGUCUGCAACUCGACUACAUGAAGUUGGAAUCGCUAGUAAUCGCGUAUCAGCUACGACGCGGUGAAUGUGUUCCUGAGCCUUGUACACACCGCCCGUCAAGCCAUGGAAGUUGGGACCUCCCGAAGUCCUCUUAGCUAACCUUUUAGGAAGCGGAGGCCGACGGAGAGCUCGAUGACUGGGGCUAAGUCGUAACAAGGUA